AUCGGCAUUGCUUAUGAGCGCUGAAAAUUCUCGCCGCUCGCAAUCGCCGCGUCGCAUUAGACUUUUGACCACGGAUGUACUGGCACUGGUGUAAGAGCGAUGAUGAGGAAGGUCGGUGCGGUUUCGCCCCGGCCUUUUUUGUU
rnacentral:sRNA from 1 species